GCUCGGUUAACUCAGUGGUAGAGUGCAUCCUUCACACGGAUGAAGUCACUGGUUCAAGUCCAGUACCGAGCA
rnacentral:tRNA from 1 species